AGACCCCAGUGACCACCGUACCACCAGGUGCUCGCUGGCUGACGCAGGAGGAAUUUCACACCGCAGCUGUUUCCACCGCCAUGAAAAAGGUUUUCCGUGUGUAUCAGGGCCAACAGCCAGGGACCUGUAUGUAGAGACAGGGUUUCACCAUGUUGACUAGGCUGGUCUCGAACUCCUGACCUCAAGUGAUCUGCCCAUCUUGGCCUCCCAAAGUGCUGGGAUUACAGGCGUGAGCCACCACACCCAUCCAUGGGAGCUAUCAGUUCUAAUUGGGAGACGGAUCAGGAAAGGCUGUUUGGAGGAAGCAGCUGGGUUCCAAAAGGUCCCAGGUGUCCUCUCCGUGCAGUCGGAAAAAGCCCCGCAUGGGCCAGCAAGUCCUGGAUAAUUUCUUUCGGUCUCACAUCUCCACUGAUGCACACAGCCUCAACAGUGCAGCCCAGUGACACCUCUGAAAGCCCCCAUUCCCUGAGAAUCCUGUUGUUAGUAAAGUGCUUAUUUUUGUAGUUA
rnacentral:lncRNA from 10 species